rnacentral:tRNA from 1 species
UGGCCCGUAGCUCAGCGGUAGAGCGUCCGACUGAUAAUCGGAAGGUCGGUGGCUCAAAUCCACCCGGGCCAA